rnacentral:rRNA from 1 species
CCUACGGGAGGCAGCAGUGGGGAAUAUUGCACAAUGGGGGAAACCCUGAUGCAGCGACGCCGCGUGAGUGAAGAAGUAUUUCGGUAUGUAAAGCCCUAUCAGCAGGGAAGAAAAUGACGGUACCUGAUUAAGAAGCCCCGGCUAACUACGUGCCAGCAGCCGCGGUAAUACGUAGGGGGCAAGCGUUAUCCGGAUUUACUGGGUGUAAAGGGAGCGUAGACGGCAGCACAAGUCUGGAGGGAAAUGCCGGGGCUUAACCCCGGAACUGCUGUGGAAACUGGGCAGCUAGAGUGAAGGAGAGGUAUGUGGAAUGCGUGGUGUAGCGGUGAAAUGCGUAGAUAUUAGGAAGAACACCAGUGGCGAAGGCAGCUUGCUGGACUGUAACUGACGUUGAGGCUCGAAAGCGUGGGUAGCAAACAGGAUUAGAUACCCGGGUAGUC